GACGUAGGGCGCGAGCGUUGUCCGGAUUUAUUGGGCGUAAAGAGCUCGUAGGCGGUUUGUCGCGUCUGCUGUGAAAAACCCAGGGCUUAACCCUGGGCCUGCAGUGGGUACGGGCAAACUAGAGUGCGGUAGGGGAGAUCGAAUUCCUGGUGUAGCGGUGAAAAUGCGCAGAUAUCAGGAGGAACACCGGUGGCGAAGGCGGGAUCUCUGG
rnacentral:rRNA from 1 species